rnacentral:lncRNA from 1 species
UGAUAAACUAUUGAUUUUCUUUGUGAUUUAGACUCGAGACUGUUCCAAGAGAUUUCUAUGAAAAGGCUCCAUAACUAAGUUCUGCCUAAUACAUCAGCUCAGGUGCAUAUUUCUUCCCAGUACUUCAAAGCAAUCUGCUGAACUGGCUGGACUUUCCCUGGAGGGAUAAAGUACAGGGCAAGCUCCACUUGAAAGCUAUUCUACAUUUCCCUUUCCCUCAGGUUAUGUGSAUGGCAAUGGGGCUUUGCUGGUGUGGGGGCUGCUGCGUGAUCUAAGCCUCCAUCUGAAGAAAGCGUGGAGGUGGCAAGGAUGCUCAGGCUGACAUCAGCAGUCCAUCCUGGGACUAAAAUGAAUGGUCAGACCCGUUCCCAUGAGGGACAGUGGGAAGUGGUCUGAAUAUCAAGAUUGUUAUUUCCGGAUAUAUCUGAACCAGUGGUUCUCCAAUGGAUGAUUUCUAUACCAACUUCUGGACUAGAUUYUAAUUUUUCAUUGAGGAGAAUCCAACUGUAUCAAAUCAGUUCAACCGGAAUUUCAUUCUGUUGAACUGACCUGAUUUGGGAUGCAAACCGACCUCUGAAAUGUUGAAAUUUCCCAUGAGAGCAGAAAUUCUGAAUUUUGCUCAGCUCUAGUUACUCCUCACAUGGAAAUGGCCUAAAGCAAACAAACCGCCACACUCCUAGCGCAGAUAGGAGAACCGCUUGGUAAGUAGGUUAAUAUGGAUGGGGUUCCCUGGUGACG